UGCUAGGGGCGCUCGGAACGGUAGGUGUGUGGUGAGAGUUCACGUUUUAGAGACGUUGUGAAGCCAUCCCAAGAUUGGCAACUGGGGAACUUGUAUGGAGAGUCGGUCUGUCUGAACCCUGGUUUGAUAGGUCCCUCGCCGACUCCCGCAAUCCCCGCCAGAGCACGUUGGCCCCAGUCUCUCCUCGCUCUUCACCUGCCCGGCCUUUGGCGGGACUCCUCGCUUUUCCGGCUCCGGCGCGGACUUCCUCCAGGUGCUGUGUGACGGCCUCCAGGACUCGACCUGGGAGGUGAUGAGGUGCGCUCCGGUGCGUCUGAGCGGGCGCCGGGGGCGAGUCCAGUCGCUUCAGCGCACCUCUCUCAUGGCUCGUUUGUUGAGAAAAGUUGCCUUCAGACUUGGACCGAAGCAUCAGCUCUUCUUGGAUCUUGAGCCUGCCAACUUUCAGACUGGAACUUAUACCAUCGGUGUCCUGGUUCUCAGGCUUUUGAACUCAGACUGGAACUAAACAUUGGUUCUCCUAAGUCAUCAGCUUGCGGACUGCAGAUCUUGGGACUUCUCAGCCUCUCUAAUCAUAUAAUGAGGAUCUUCAAGAAUGUCUUCGAACUGCAGGUUAAACAGGCUCAAAGAAAUCCCACCCCUAUUGUUCCAGACUAAGCCCAUCCCCUGGGGCUUAAUCAAGGCAGAGAAGCUGCCAGAGUGAGGAGGCCAAACCUGUGGGAAGGUGGCAUGGAAUAAGAAUGACAACUAAGAAGCUGUACUAAGAGUUCAGGUGAGAGCAGGUGAGAGAUUGAAUUAAUGCAGAGGCAGAUGGGACAGCAGGGAGAGAGAGCUUGAGGAAACAUCUCUAACAUAGCUGGAGACUGAGUUCAAUCAUGUGACCAAUGAUCCAAUCAGUCAUGCCUUCCCAGUGAAAUCCCAAUAAAGUAUCUUGAUGCUGAGGUUCAGAGGAGUCCCUGGUUGGUGAACACGGAUGUGCUGGGAAGGUGACAUGUCCUGGCUCCCCAGGGAGAAGAUAUGGGAGCUCCAUGUUGAAGACCCUCCCAGACCUCACCCUAUGUGUCCCUUCAUUUGGCUGGCCCUGGUUGUAUCCUUUAAAUAAAACUGUA